rnacentral:rRNA from 1 species
AGUGAACGCUGGCGGUAGGCCUAACGCAUGCAAGUCGAACGGCAGCACAGUAAGAGCUUGCUCUUACGGGUGGCGAGUGGCGGACGGGUGAGGAAUACAUCGGAAUCUACUUUUUCGUGGGGGAUAACGUAGGGAAACUUACGCUAAUACCGCAUACGACCUACGGGUGAAAGCAGGGGAUCUUCGGACCUUGCGCGAUUGAAUGAGCCGAUGUCUGAUUAGCUAGUUGGCGGGGUAAAGGCCCACCAAGGCGACGAUCCGUAGCUGGUCUGAGAGGAUGAUCAGCCACACUGGAACUGAGACACGGUCCAGACUCCUACGGGAGGCAGCAGUGGGGAAUAUUGGACAAUGGGCGCAAGCCUGAUCCAGCCAUACCGCGUGGGUGAAGAAGGCCUUCGGGUUGUAAAGCCCUUUUGUUGGGAAAGAAAAGCAGCAGGUUAAUACCCCGCUGUUCUGACGGUACCCAAAGAAUAAGCACCGGCUAACUUCGUG